AUGGAUGUUGAGCGGUGCGUGAUUCACCUUGCAAGAAGAAUGAGUCCCCAGACGAGUGGCAGCAGCUCAAUGAACACAACCAAAGAUGAAUCAGAAGUGACAUCAUGGCUAUUAUUUGCAUCCAGAUAUAUGAUUAACAAAAACAAAAAACCACAGGGGGAGAGAGGAAAUGUUACAUGCAAAAUUAUGUACCAUCUAUAUCUAAUGAAAUGAUGAGUUGAAUGAUUUGGAAAGACUCAACGACUCUUCACCAGAUGUUAUUGAAGAACCUGGAGAACCUGUCAGGAAUGAAGUGGAACAUUUGUGGCCUCCUGCUCAUUUUAUCUGUCCCCUUCUGCAUAUCUGUAGGACCUUUUUCUAAGCCCUGUAAUAAAACUAUCAACUACUUAUGUCCUAUUCCUGGCAGCACUUCAAAUAAAGCUGGAAAUAUGGAUAUAUUUAUCCUGGGUAGAGAUGGUUUCAUGGGAUACUUGAAAACAGGUGAUUCAAAUCAGACAUGUUCUUGAAAGUGAAUGAGAAUUAAAUGUUUAUUUAAAAACUAAAUGAAUAGUGUGUAAAUGUUGUAAUUGUAUAACAUGAAAGUUACUUUUUGGUGGCCACAUUGUUUAUCAUUUGUCUUUUAAAUAGGUUUAUGCAAUAAUGUUACAGUGAACCUGUCCACUAGUCUGUGCUGUUCCAGUGGAUCGUCAGGUGAGGAGAAACAGAAUGUAGCCCAAACAGCACAUUAAAUAGAGAGUUUCUACUUGCGUGUGUAAACAUUCCUUGAAAAAAUAUAUAUAUAUAUAUAUAUAUAUAUAUAUAUAAAAAACAGCAAUAUUGUGAAGUACUAUUACAAUUUAAAAUACAUGUCUUCUGUUUUAAUAUAUUUUAAAAUGCAAAUUUCUUUUUGUAAAGGAAUAGCUUGAUUUUAAUAGCCAUUACUCCAAUUUUAUGAGUCACAUGAUACAUCUGAAAUCAUUUUCAUGUGUUUUUUUUUUUUUGUUGCUUAAUUAACAUUUCUUNACCCUUGGUUCUUAAUACUGUGUGUGGUUACCUGGAUGAUCCACGACUGUCUUUCUGUUUUGUGAUGGUUGUGCAUGAGUCCCUUGUUUGCUCUGAACAGUUAAACUGAGAAAAGUUCUUCAGAAAAAUCUUUAAGGUCCUGCAGAUUCUUCAGUUUUCCUGCAUAUUUGAACCCUUUCCAGCAGUGACUGUGUGAUUCUGAGAUCCAUGUUUUCACACUGAGGACAACUGAGGCACUCAAACACAACUAUUAAAAAAGGUUCAAACAUUCACUGAUGCUUCAGAAGAAAACAAUGCAUUAAGAGCUGGGGUGAAAACUUUUGAACACGAUGAAGAUGGCCACAUUUUUCUUAUUUUGUUGAAAUAUAUUUUUUUUUCCAUUUAGUUCUGCUCUUCGUAAGCAACAGAAGAUACUUGUAUGUUUCCCAGAACACAAAUUAAGUACAAUUUACCUUGAUCUUCAAAUUCCAAAGGUUUUCACCCCCCAGCUUAAUGCAUCUUGUUUCCUUCUGGAGCAUCAGUGAAUUUUUGAACCUUUUUUAAUAGUUGUGUUUGAGUGCCUCAAUUGUCCUAAGUGUGAAAAGAUGUAUCUCAAAAUCAUACAGUCACUGCUGGAAAGGGUUCAAAUAUGCAAAGAUGCUGGAAAACUGAAGAAUCUGCAGGACCUUAAAGAUUUUUCUGAAGAACAGUUCUCAGUUUAACUGUUCAGAACAAACAAGGGACUCAUGCACAACCACCACAAAACAGAAAGACAGUCGUGGAUCAUCCAGGUAACCACACACAGUAUUAACAACCAAGGGUUCCCAAACUUUUGAAUGGGGUUUUUUGAAUAAUUUCAGGAUUUUUUUGUCUUGUGGACUAAAUGUAAACAUCUUUUAUGUACAAUAUCUUACUCAGGACAGUAUUAAAUAAAAAUAACAUGCAUUUAGUAUGAUCUCUCUUA
ensembl:lncRNA